AUUCUUCUUCUUCUUCUUCUUCUUCCUUCCCACUCCUUCCAUGGGAGCAUUCUUCUUCUCCAUUCUUCUCCCGUUUCUUUCAGAGAGAAGAACCAAGCCGAGAUCUUGUCCGUGAGAGAAUUCUUGUUCUCCAGCUCUCAACAUUUCCUCUCCUUCCGUUAAUUCUUUCUUUCCCCUUCCCUCCUUUUUUUGCUUUCUACCAUUCCUUGUGCCUCUUUAAUUGAUUCCGUUUUGCUUCGCUUGUUGAGGAGGCAAGCAAGAAAGGCGCACCUUUUUGCGGCACUACAGAUCCCUCCUCCGCUGACCGCAAAGCUUGCGGCUUGGGGUGAUGUGGGGAUAUGUAUUCUCCUCCUUCCGUCGCAACUCCUUCCUCUUUCCUCCCCUCCCUCCCCACGCCGAGAUUCGUAGCUCCAUUCCAUGCCAAGAUCGGUUCUUUAGGGGUGCUCCACCCGUCGAGGACUAGAAUCUGCGGAUGGAGGAGUGGGAGGAGGAAGGAGAUCGUCGUGAAAGCGAGGGAGGAGGAGGAUGCGUUUGCGAUGGCGCCAAGGAGUAUGGACGUGGAGGCCGAGCUUUACGAGUUCAUGCGGAGGUCCGCGAAGCCGAUGGACUUCCCGACCAGGGACGAGCUCGUCGCCGCCGGGAGGGCCGACUUGGCGGAGACCGUGGCUGCGCAGGGCGGCUGGCUCACCUUUGGGUGGGAUCUUGAUGAUGGCGGCGAGGAAGUAAUCGAUGGGUCGCAAUCAAUGAGUGACGUCGCUCAAGAAGAUGGUGAAGUCUAUCAAGAAAGGGUUCUUAACGGUUCUUUGGGGACUAAUCCUGCAACUGCUCUGGGUUGUGAGGAUCGUUCCGCUGCCCCAUCUUUUUCCGGGAGAUCAUUGGAGAUGGAGAAUCUCGAGGAUGGUGGGGUCGAGGGGAUAUUGAGCAGGCUGGAGAAAGAGAGGAGCUUCUCUCUUGCGCUGGCUUCAAGAGGGAAAGUGGUGAAUGGUCGAGACUCAUGGAGGAAUGCUGUGCAUGAUCCAGGAGAUACAGGUGGGAAAUUGGAAGAUGUUAAUGGCACAAAAAGUUCAGUGCCAGACGUGGAGGAGUUGGAGCAUUCAAAGGUUGCUGAAACUGUUCCCACUGAUGACAGAAAGAUGUUAGAGGAUGACUCUUUAAAAGUUGAAUGGAGCACUAUGCAUAUACAAACUCAGAACUCAUUUAUGUCUCAUAAUGGGAUGAAGGAGUCAUUUGCUGACAAAAGUCAGAGACAUUUACAUCUUCAGCACUUGGAGGCAGAUCUUAGCUCUGCACUUUGGUUAGUUAGAUCUAGAGCUAAUGGUGUUGUUUCACAUAAGCACCAAGGAAACUCGAUAGAUGAGCUACAUAGACCUUCUGAUGCUUGGGAAUUCCAAGAGACUGAGAUAGUGAAUGCCCGAGAUAAGUUGCAGUCAGUUCGAGCAAAAUUGGCAAUUUUAGAAGGAAACUUGUCUUUUAAGAUCAUGGAAGCACGAAAAGUAAUGGAAGAGAGACAGAAAAGAAUUGAUGCUGCUCAAAAUGCUUUACAUCUUCUUCGUAUGGCCUAUAUAGUCUGGCCUAAUUCUGCUUCAGAGGUUUUACUUGCAGGGUCUUUUGAUGGGUGGACUGGUCAGAGAAGGAUGGAAAGAUCAAGUUCCUGUAUCUUCACUUUACAGCUAAAAUUGUACCCUGGCCGGUAUGAGUCCAGAUGACAUACUAUCCAAGAACUGGGCAUUUGUUGGGAUGGUGCAAUAACCUAGAGCUUCUGUCCAGAACUGAUGGCUGAAUGCUGAAUUAGAUGGGACUUCAGUACUGGAAGAUCCCAAACCUUGUAAGCAUUUGCAUCUUAAUAUUUGCCCUUUUGAAGCUUUGGAUUAUAAAUAUAUUCUUUGAGAAGUAUGCAUACACAUGUUGAUUUGUACAUUCAUCAAACGUAGACAUCCAUGAAUCUAAUUUUCCUGGGAGUAAAUUCAUAAAUUUAUCUUUUACUCGGCAAAUGCGAUAACCUUACCUCGUGCAGGGUCUUAUGUGCAUUUUGCAUAGAUUUCAUCAAUAAGUUGCAUUGCUGUAAUGCCAUUCUUUUUUUGGUCUGCUGUUGCAUGCUUAAUGUAGCAAAAUUUGAGAGCUUAAAUGGGAAGAAGAUUUUAGGAGUGCAACACAUCACUAGAGACUUUACCCCUGGUUUAUAUUUCCAUGACCUGUGAAGUCACAAACACAUUCCAUAUUGCAACGCCUGAUCUGUGUUCAGCUGUUUCUUUGGAAAACUUGAUGGAUAGAUGCACGUAGAAAUAUCCUGUUCUUCUCCAAAGUUGCAGAUCAACCUAAGCCCAGAGACCAAGAAUGAUGAGUGGGGAUCAACCAUGGAGAAGAGAAUGGUGAGAUAAUGCUGCCAUUGGUGGUAAUUUUGCUGGUGAACUGCAAACAGAGAUCCUCCGCCGCUCUCUGAUCACACCAGGCAGCGACUGCCAUCACGAUGAUGGAAUGGACGGACCUUUCGAGCCAUGGGACCAUGAUCAGAUCUGGGUCCUCACAGGGCAUUUUACCUGCUUGAUGCAGGGCCCGGAGGUGCCAUGGAUUUGCAGCAAAUCCAUCUGGUUCACUCUGUUCUUUUUGAGUUGCAGUUGCAGCCAUGUCAAGAGUUCUGAACCUGUGUAAACAUGAAGACCAAGUCAGGAGGUUGAAGUAAACAAAAUGAUUAGAAGAGAGUUUCUCAUAAACAGUUGUAAAGCAUCAGUGGGCUCGAGCCUGUAGACGAGAAAACACUUGAGCAACCUGGUGGAUUAAGUUACAAGAGUAGGUAGCAGGAGGAAAAGAAAAAGGAUGAUCUUGAUGGAAGAAGAUUCUGAAAAGCUAUGCAUCCACACCAUAAUUUGGUUGCAGUAAUAACGAACUGUUCAGCUGAUCAUAUGAAUUGGCAGUGGUUGCAAUGCACGAUUAGAACACAUACACAUACUGCUAUUGGUUGAGAAACAUGGCAUAGAUCCCUAUGAGUGUCACAAAGCUGGAACUUACAGAAUGGUGGUGCAGGUUGGAUCUUACCUAAACUUAUCAGUGUAGAAGAGCUCAGAGAUGAGACAGCUGAGGUUAGAUGUUUCCUCCGCUCUUUUUCUAUGUGGGUGCAAUAUGAACUUUUAAGAAUGUUCGGUCCUCAUCUCACGUGAAACAAUUGUUUACAUUAAAUGCAUGCAUCAUGUUUAACGAUGUAUUUAGUUACAACAAUAGGUAGCAGGAGGAGAAGGAAAAGGGUAAUCUUGAUGGAGGAAAAUUCUGAAAAGCUAAGCAUGCACACCAUAAUUUGGUUGCAGUAAGAAUGAACUGUUCAGCUGAUGAUAUGAAUUGGCAAUGGUUGAAUGCACGAUUGGAACACAUAUACACAUACUGCUAUUAGUUCAGAAAGAUGGCAUAGUUUCUUAUGUGUAACAAAGCUGGAACUUACAGAAUGGUGAUGCGGGUUGGAUCUUACCUGAACUGAUCAGUGUCGGAGAGCUCAGAGAUGAGAGAGCUGAGCAGCAGCUAGGAGAAUGGAACAAGAGCAUAAACCCUAGAACAAGUUUGCCUAGAAGGAAGAAGGGAAAGGAAGGGAAUGAAGAGCUCCCAUCAUUCAUCUGCAG